GAAAAAAAAUUGUAGCUUUCGCCAGGCGUCCUCGUGGGAGUGACAUCGUCUUUAAACCCUGCGUGGCAAUCCCUGACGCACCGCCGUGAUGCCCAGGGAAGACAGGGCGAGCUGGAAGUCCAACUACUUCCUUGAGAUCAUCCAACUUCUGGAUGAUUGUCCAAAAUGCUUCAUUGUGGGAGCAAACAGUGUGGGCUCCAAGCAGAGGCAGCAGAUCCGCAUGUCCCUCCGCGGGAAGGCUGUGGUGCUGAUGGGCAAGAACACCAUGAUGCGCAAGGCCAUCCGAGGACACCUGGAAAACAACCCGGCUAUGAGAAACUGCUGCCUCAUAUCGGGGGAAUGUGGGCUUUGUGUUCACCGAGAAGGACCUCACUGAGAUCCGGGACAUGCUGCUGGCCAAUAAGGUGCCAGCUGCUGCCCAUGCUGGUGCCAUUGCCCCGUGUGAAGUCACUGUGCCAGCCCAGAACACUGGUCUGGGGCCAGAGAAGACCUCCUUCUUCCAGGCUCUAGGCAUCACCACUAAAAUCUCCAGGGACACCAUUGAAAUCCUGAGUGAUGUCCAACUGAUUAAGACUGGAGACAAAGUGGGAGCCAGCGAAGCCACACUGCUGAACAUGCUGAACAUGCAUCUCCCCCUUCUCCUUUGGGCUGAUCACCCAGCAGGUGUUUGACAAUGGCAGCAUCUACAACCCGGAAGUGCUUGACAUCACAGAGGAAACUCUGCAUUCCCGCUUCCUGGAGGGUGUCCGAAAUGUUGCCAGAGUAUGCCUUCACAUUGGUUACCCAACUGUUGCAUCAGUACCCCAUUCUAUUAUCAAUGGGUACAAGCAAGUUCUGGCUUUGUCUGUGGAGACUAAUUACACCUUCCCAAUGCUCCUCGAGGGCUGGGACUGCCUGUUACAUAUUUUAGGACAGCUUCAUGUACCACUUGGCAUAGAGUGA